GACGAACGCUGGCGGCGUGCCUAAUACAUGCAAGUCGAACGCAGUGGGGACGGGUGAGUAACACGUGGGUAACCUCCCAUCAGAGGGGAUAACACUUGGAAACAGGUGCUAAACCGAUACUGAUGGAUGGACCCGCGGUGCAUUAGCUAGUUGUUGAGGUAACGGCUCACCAAGGCCACGAUGCAUAGCAGACUGGGGAGGGGUGGCGGCCACACGGGUACGGAGACCGGGCCCAGAGUCCUACGGGAGGCAGCAGUAGGGAAUCUUCGGCAAGGGACGAAAGUCUACCCGGGCAACACCGGGUGAGGGAAGAAGGUUUUCGGACCGUAAAACGCUGUUGUUAGAAAAGCGGUAUCUAACCAGAAAGCCACGGCUAACUACGUGCCAGCAGCCGCGGUAAUAC
rnacentral:rRNA from 1 species